rnacentral:rRNA from 1 species
UACGUAGGGUGCAAGCGUUAAUCGGAAUUACUGGGCGUAAAGCGUGCGCAGGCGGUUAUGUAAGACAGAUGUGAAAUGCCCGGGCUUAACCUGGGAACUGCAUUUGUGACUGCAUGGCUAGAGUUUGGCAGAGGGGGGUAGAAUUCCACGUGUAGCAGUGAAAUGCGUAGAUAUGUGGAGGAACACCGAUGGCGAAGGCAGCCCCCUGGGUCAAGACUGACGCUCGUGCACGAAAGCGUGGGGAGCAAACAGG